UAGGGAAUCUUCCACAAUGGACGCAAGUCUGAUGGAGCAACGCCGCGUGAGUGAAGAAGGUCUUCGGAUCGUAAAGCUCUGUUGUUGGUGAAGAAGGAUAGAGGCAGUAACUGGUCUUUAUUUGACGGUAAUCAACCAGAAAGUCACGGCUAACUACGUGCCAGCAGCCGCGGUAAUACGUAGGUGGCAAGCGUUGUCCGGAUUUAUUGGGCGUAAAGCGAGCGCAGGCGGAAUGAUAAGUCUGAUGUGAAAGCCCACGGCUCAACCGUGGAACUGCAUCGGAAACUGUCAUUCUUGAGUGCAGAAGAGGAGAGUGGAACUCCAUGUGUAGCGGUGGAAUGCGUAGAUAUAUGGAAGAACACCAGUGGCGAAGGCGGCUCUCUGGUCUGCAACUGACGCUGAGGCUCGAAAGCAUGGGUAGCGAACAGGAUUAGAUACCCUGGUAGUCCAUGCCGUAAACGAUGAGCGCUAGGUGUUGGGGACUUUCCGGUCCUCAGUGCCGCAGCAAACGCAUUAAGCGC
rnacentral:rRNA from 1 species